CGCCAGACUCCUACGGGAGGCAGCAGUGGGGAAUAUUGCACAAUGGGGGAAACCCUGAUGCAGCGACGCCGCGUGAGUGAAGAAGUAUUUCGGUAUGUAAAGCUCUAUCAGCAGGGAAGAAAAUGACGGUACCUGACUAAGAAGCCCCGGCUAACUACGUGCCAGCAGCCGCGGUAAUACGUAGGGGGCAAGCGUUAUCCGGAUUUACUGGGUGUAAAGGGAGCGUAGACGGCUGUGCAAGCCAGAUGUGAAAGCCCGGGGCUCAACCCCGGGACUGCAUUUGGAACUGUGUAGCUGGAGUGUCGGAGAGGCAGGCGGAAUUCCUAGUGUAGCGGUGAAAUGCGUAGAUAUUAGGAGGAACACCAGUGGCGAAGGCGGCCUGCUGGACGAUGACUGACGUUGAGGCUCGAAAGCGUGGGGAGCAAACAGGAUUAGAUACCCCCGUAUAC
rnacentral:rRNA from 1 species